GCAAGUCGAGCGCUCUCUUCGGAGGGAGCGGCGGACGGGUUAGUAACGCGUGGGAAUAUGCCCUUCUCUAAGGAAUAGCCUCUGGAAACGGAGAGUAAUACCUUAUACGCCCUUCGGGGGAAAGAUUUAUCGGAAUUGGAUUAGCCCGCGUUAGAUUAGAUAGUUGGUGGGGUAAUGGCCUACCAAGCCUACGAUCUAUAGCUGGUUUGAGAGGAUGAUC
rnacentral:rRNA from 1 species